AGAGUUUGAUCAUGGCUCAGAUUGAACGCUGGCGGCAUGGUUAAGACAUGCAAGUCGAACGAUUAAAGCCCCUUCGGGGGUGUAUAAAGUGGCGAAAGGGCGAGGAAUCCGUUUCUACGUACCCCGAGGUUGAGGAUAGCCCAGGGAAACUUGGAGUAAUACUCGAUGUGGUCUCCGGAUCAAAGGCUUCGGCCGCCUCGGGAGCGGGGAACGUCCUAUCAGGUUGUUGGUGAGGUAACGGCUCACCAAGCCGAAGACGGGUAGCGGGUGUGAGAGCAUGACCCGCCGCAUCGGGACUGAGACACUGCCCGGACUCCUACGGGAGGCUGCAGUAACGAAUCUUCCGCAAUGCGCGAAAGCGUGACGGAGCAAUGCCGCGUGCAGGAUGAAGCCUCUCGGGGUGUAAACUGCUGUCAGGGUUUAGCAACACAAUGAGCAGACCCAAAGGAAGGGCCGGCUAACUUCGUGCCAGCAGCCGCGGUAAUACGAAGGGCCCGAGCGUUAAUCGGAAUUAUUGGGCUUAAAGCGUACGUAGGCGGACACGCAGGCGCCUUGUGAAAUCCCUCGGCUCAACCGAGGAACUGCUUGACGAACCGCGUGUCUUGAGGCAAGUAGAGGCGGUCGGAACGCUAGGUGGAGUGGUGAAAUGCGUUGAUAUCUAGCGGAACGCCGAUGGUGAAGACAGGCCGCUGGGCUUGUUCUGACGCUGAGGUACGAAAGCGUGGGGAGCGAACGGGAUUAGAUACCCCGGUAGUCCACGCCGUAAACGAUGUGCACUAGAUCGAGGGGGUUUUGACGCCACUCUCGGUCGAAGCAAAAGUGUUAAGUGCACCGCCUGGGGAGUACGGUCGCAAGGCUAAAACUCAAAGGAAUUGACGG
rnacentral:rRNA from 1 species